rnacentral:rRNA from 1 species
GAUGAACGCUAGCGGCAGGCUUAAUACAUGCAAGUCGAGGGGCAGCGCGGGUAGCAAUACCUGGCGGCGACCGGCAAACGGGUGCGGAACACGUACGCAACCUUCCCAAAACUGGUGAAUAGCCCUCCGAAAGGAGGAUUAAUACACCGUACCAUACCGAGGAGGCAUCUCCUUGUUAUUAUAGUAGCAAUACGGUUUUGGAUGGGCGUGCGCCUGAUUAGGUAGUUGGCGGGGUAACGGCCCACCAAGCCUACGAUCAGUAACUGGUGUGAGAGCACGACCAGUCACACGGGCACUGAGACACGGGCCCGACUCCUACGGGAGGCAGCAGUAAGGAAUAUUGGUCAAUGGACGCAAGUCUGAACCAGCCAUGCCGCGUGAAGGAUGAAGGUCCUCUGGAUU